rnacentral:lncRNA from 1 species
GUUGCUUGUAGUAAACAGGAAGCUUAGCAAUGGUCAUAGAAAUCUCAGACAUUCCAUUAAACAUCAUCGUUACUAGUGUGAAAAACAAAGCACCAGCAUAAACACCUGCGUCAUCCUGAUCAUCGCGAUGCAUCUCAGUCCGAAAAAACAGUGUCAUUGCAAUCAAUGCCAUGAUGAAAAGCUGAAAAACAAAGCAUGAAGAGAAAACCGUUAUGUCACAGAAAAUCAUGGUCAUGAAUGUAUAAAUGAAAAAGAUAAUCUAUUUACUUAUAUUUAUAAAAAAGAGCGGGAUAGAUUACAAACCUGAGUUAGCUUGAAGAUGUAAACAAACGAAUUCCUUUUCAUGAGCAAAUACUCUCUUGAGAAGUUAGCCUUUAAAAGCUCCGUCUUGUUGAGACCAUACUCUUUGGUGGUCAAAGCAGCUGGAUGGCUCUUCGUCUUGUCAAAUGGUAUGGAAAGCUCCUCAGCAAGUUUCCCACCAAUAUGGAAUGAUUGAAAUGCCUCGGCAAAUUGAGUAACAGUUACAUAUCGGUAUGGUUGAUCUCUGCGCACCCAGUACUGUGCUUGAUCCUUUUUGGAUGUUACUUCUUGAAGAAAAUCAGCAACACCUUUCCUUUCAGGACAUUUGAAACCCAUAGAUUCGAAAAAGUCAAGAACAUAUUCGCGGGGGCCAUGGUAUACAACUUGGCCAUCAGAUAUUAAGAUAAUGUCAUCAAAAAGAUCAUAAGUCUCAGGUGCUGGCUGGAGCAGUGAUAUAACUGCAGUGCCAUUCAUAAUGUGAACAUAUUGCCUCAGAGAGCUCACAAUUUGAAAAGUUGUGGAACUGUCCAGUCCAGUAGAAAUUUCAUCCAUGAACAAUGCAUUGGCUGGUCCAACCAACAUCUCUCCUGUGGUAACACGCUUCCUUUGUCCUCCGGAGAUACCACGCAACAUUUCAUCCCCUACCAUGGUAUCCGCACAUAUAUCCAACCCCAAAAUCUGCAAAAUUGUACACAUAAAAACUUAAUACAUUUGGCUUAUAAGACAAUUCAGUGUAUGACAUGAAUCAUAACUUUAUAGUGGUAGGCAAGACAUGAUAGAUCCUAUUCAAGGACGAUGUUAAUUGGAAGCAAGCAACCAAUAAAAAAAUGCAAUAUUAGUUUAAUUUUGACACACUGUCAGCGCAAUAAGUUUCACAUUGUUAACAAAUCACAAUCAAUCAUAUGUAUCUUUCUAGAAGCACUUAUGUUUAAAGUAAAACACUUUUAUUGAUCUGACAACUAAUUAAUUGAGCUGUAUUUUAGUAUUACCUUGAGUACAUAAUCUGUUGAUAUGCUUGAUUCCUGACCUUCAGUUGCAAUUGCCUGUUAUAUUAAAAUACAGUUAGAUAUGCAAAUACAGUAUAGUAUAUCUAAUUACUAUUGAUAUUAUCUUAUUUAAUGUAUACCUUCAUGUAGACAUCAAUAUCUGGGUCAGGCUUGAUAUUUGCUACCUUCUCUCUUCUAGAAAGCUCAGAUAGCAUGUCUGUGGAUCACAAAAACAGUAAUAAGUCAAGCUUUAGUCACACAGCAAAUUAGAUUUUGAAAACAAUAAUAUGGUGGUAAAUUGACUCACCGUAACGAGAUCCAACUCCUUGGCACCUUGCUGAGAAAGCUAAGGUUUCCCUCACAGUCAUUUCUCCAAUGUGAACAUCAUGCUGGCUGAUAUAAGCAGCAGUUCUUUGAGGUACAAACUCAUUCAGUCCGUGUCCAUUGUAGGUCACAUUCCCAGAUAGCUAUAUAAAUUAAACAUUGGUAUCAAAAUUAUGUAAUUUUAAAUAUUAAGUUUACUCUUUUUGCUAAAAAUGAAUUAUAUAGAUGAUGGCAUUAAAGGGAGGUGUGAUUAUUCACCUGAAAACUUGAAUCAAGCUUUCCUGAUAAAGCUAAAAGUAGUGUGGUUUUUCCUGAACCAGGAGGACCUAAGAGUAAUGUCAUCCUACGAGGUUUAAUAAUUCCACUAACAUCUCUAAGAAUUGCCACAUGCCUCUUUUUGGUUGGGAUGAUAUGAAGAAAAUUGAAUACACCCUGAAACAAAAAAAGAUAUAUAUUUUUUUUACUUGUGAGACUCAACUGCAAAAACAAAACAGAUAAAAAAAACAGAGAAAAGUGUUCAGCAUCAAUUUUCAGGUUCUGAUAUCUAUCCCUACCUCGACAACAUUAGUAGCAGCGUUAAUGAAACUAGGCAAAGCUCGACUUCCCACAAAAGCUUCGGCAUCAAUUUUCAGGUUCUGGUAUCGAACUUCAAUUGUUGGAAUAUCAAGUCCAACUCUAUAAUAAGAAGAAGAAACACAAAGCAUGUUGAGUUAUGAGAGAAAUAAGAUCAAAAGAAAAAAAGAAGCAAAAAAAGUACAUUUUCUAUAAUAAUUACCUAUCAACUCUUUCCUUGACCUUCAACAGAAACCCUUCAUUAUCCUCUUCAGCAACCCUAACCAACCUCUCCAAAAGCUUCUGCUUUUCUUUAAAAGCAAGAUCACCAACAUCAACUUCAUGAGCACCUCCAUGAGAAGCUGUCAACAAACCUUUUCUUAGACGAUUGUAAGUAGGUAGUUUUUCAAGUGCAGCCCAUUUGAGAGCUUCUUCAUCAUCUUCUUCACGUGAUGAUUUAGAGAAAACCUCAACUCCACUCUGUCUCCAAACAGUUGAACUUCUUGCUCUUAAACUAUUAGUAGCUCUGUAUAUAUCAGUCCCUUCCAUUUUUGCUUUGUUCAACAGCCUCAACACAAGCUUGUGUUUCUUAUUUUUCUUUUCAAGGCAAUACUGUUAUUAUGAAUUGAACCAAAACAUUAAACUAAAUGGAGUGUCGAAUAAAAUGAAAGAAUCAAAGAAUGAUGAAAGGAAAAAACUUGUUGUAUUGAUGUUUCUUUGUGGCAAAGGAAAUGAAUAUGGAAUGAGAAAACAUGUUUGUAUUUAUACCUUUGAUGCCAAAGAAGUGGCGGCUAUGGAGAGUCAAAUGUUGAAAUUUACGUGUUUUUUUAGUAAUAAAAAAAGUACUAGAAGGGACAGGAGAGAAAUAUAUGUCAAAUGGUCAAAUAAUGAAGGAGGACUAGACUAGGCAUCUUGGUUGGCCAUCAUGAGGAAACUUCGUCCUACAUAUUAAGGUGUAAUAUAUUUUCCAUAGAUAUUAUAGGACUAAAACAAGGCGGCCAAGGCCACUCAUUGAUAUUAUACAGUAAAAAUAAUAGAGAAAUAAAAACAAUAAAUACUAAUAAGAAUCAAAGAAAAAACAAGAGAUUUAAUCAUGGCUAUUAAACACCUUCUUCGUAGAGAGUAGGUGGUUAGUUUACGACAUACUUUGUGUGAGGGUAACGCUGCAACUGAUUUUUUAGCUAGAAAGGGUGCUCUUAGUGAUAGUAGCCUUGUUAUUUUGAAUGAAACCCCUCCUGAUAUGGCCUCUGUCCUCUUAGCAGAUGCCAUGGGUGUUGAGUUUAUUCGACCCUAGUAUGGAUGGGUCUUUUUUAGCUUUUUUUCCCUUUUUUUUCCCCUUUUGUUACCAAAAAAGAAAAAACAAGAGAAUAAAAUUCCAGCUCAAAAAAAAAAAAACACAAAAGAAUAACAUUUCAAUAAAAAAAUGGUAGUUAGGAAUCAACCAAAAGUAUCUAAGCAGCGACGUCAUUCGCUUGCAUUUUUUUUUUGUACACAUUUCUUUUCAUGUUUCAAAAAACAUAAUGUUUGAAAAGUUGGAAAUUCACAGGUUUACUGUUUUAUAGUCCUCACUUCCAAAAUAUAGACUGCUAGAACAAUCAUAACCUUGACAUUUGACUCGUAUAUAUAUUUUUUGGUCCAAACAUAUUUUUUUGACCGAAAAAAAAUCAGUAAUUUGAUAAUUUUUUUUAUAGUCUAUUUUUAGACAAAAUACACUAUAAAGAAGUGUGCUUAUGGUAAAUCACCUUUUAUUUUUCACUCAAAUAAAUUACUGGGCUUGAUGUGCCUCCUUUCUUACUCGAAAAUAGAAACAAAAGUGAAAAUCUUAAAGCAAGAGAAAAAAUAUAACGUAGAAUAUGUAACUAUUCUGCAAAAAUAAUUUAUGUGCAAUUCUAUAUACUAUUGCAGUCUUACACCAAAAAGUUCUUUAUUUGCAGGAUUAGGUGCACCAUCACAAAGGCGUAAAGGUUCAAAUUGUUGGAUCAUUAAAUGCAGGAACUGCAUACUUUGACCGGUUGCAAAUCUUUAUAAGAAAACUUGAAAGUCAAGUCAAACACAUAAUAUACAUAGUCCCUAUCUAAAUAAGCAUUUAUCCUAAGCGCAUGUAUAAGUUAUUUUUAUAACAAAAUAUAAAAUAAAUGUAAACAUGACAGACAUCAUACGAUGAAUGUUUCGAAUUUUUUUAACUAAUUAAUCAAGAAAAUCACAGUUGUGGAUGCGCCAGUGAAGCAUGAUCACAAGAACCGGCAAAGCUCCUGAAUAAAUAAAGAACACAAAAGAAGACACAUUUUUGUUUUGUUUUGAGAAAGCAAAAUAUUAUUAGCCCUUCUUUAGCGUGAGAAAAAAAGACACAUUUUUGUUUUGUUUUGAGAAAGCAAAAUAUUUGUAGCCCUUCUUUGGCGUGAGAGGUGGUAAAGAUGAAUAGAAAAAACAAUCCGUGAUCAAAUCAACAAUACAAGAGGAAACAAUCAGCAGCCUAACAAGUAAACAAGCUCACAAAGAACACAAAAGUCUGGAAAACAAAUACCCUCUAAAGGCCAAAACCCCGUACCGCACACACCCACAAGAAAACCCAAUUAUCACACAGCUUGCUACAGAACCUAUCCUGCUCCAUAGACUACUGGAGACACGAACUUUCACAUUAAUUCUAGAAAUGCAUCGUAGGCUUCAAGGAAGAGAAAAACAAACCUGGUGGACUGAACGGUGAUCGUCAAGCAUCAUAGUUUUCUUGUCAUGUCUGAACAGAACCUUCAACAAACUAUUGGAUGGUUGAGAACUCAUACUAAACUUGUGAUUUAAUAAAGAUUCAUAACACUUCAUAGCUUUCAUAGCUUCCUUAGGCUGACCAUCAUUAAAAAGCCAGUCCAUAAAUGUUGCAUUCAAAAUACCGUCAUAAGAGUUUGGACAGUGCUACUUAAGGUCGUCGAAGAGCAUGCUUGCUUUAUAUAAAUAUCCAACUUCAAGUAAACCGAAGUACACCAGUGUCCCCCCUCUUGAGGUACACCCUCCUAGAUUCUUCACAAAAACAAAAAAAAAAAAUCAAAAUAAAAUAAAAAACAAGCAGUUUUAUACAAAAGUUAGGACAAAUUACACUUACCUCCCCAAAAGUUUCACACAUACACCCCGCCUAAUUUUAUAGUGGACAAUAACCACCCCCAAGAUCUCUUAAAUCAAUAGAAACCUUCCUUUCCAACUUAACACCGUUACCUUUUCUGUUAAAACUAAAAGAACUAGUAUUUUUUGUCUGUUGAUGAAAACAAUAUUUCUUGAUUAAACUAGCUAAUAUUCCUGCCAUUGUUGGAAGCUUUACAAAUAUUUAUUUAUUUUUGUGAUAGAUGACACACUCCAUCCCUCACUUAAACGUAAGUUUGCUGAUAAAAUUAAAGCUUUCUCUUUUAAUCUGUCAUUGUUGAUUUGUGUGAACCGGAACUACCUCUAAAACCAAUAAAUACUACAAGCCUGAAUAUUACUAAAACCUCUAAACCAGAAAAUAAAUAAAUGCUAUCAAUUCAAUAUAUGCAUUGUAGGCUUCUUCAAGGUAGAGAAAAACAACCUGAUCCACUAAAUGGUGAAUCGGAGUUGACAUCCAUGGCUGUCCAGCAUAAGCCAUUUUAACUUUAUGGAAUUUGGGAGCAAAUAGAAUGUUCUGGAUAUUAAAAAAAGUCGAUUAGUUUCUAACUCAUUACAUGGGAUGUCUCAUUUUCGAACUAGUAAUCUUUAGAAUUUAAAAAUGAGUUAAUUAACCUGAUGUCUCUUAUAAAGAACAAGCGAUCCACCUGCAAGUGCGUAAGAAAGACUUUAGCCACACAAUGCAGUUCAAUAUGCAAUAAAUUGUUUUCAAGCAGUCUUUGUUGUGGUAAUAUUGUUAGAAAAAAAUAUAAAAUGAGAUGAAAAAUAUAAAUGGGCUCCCUUGUUUCUUUUGCUGGUGUUCACAUUAACGAUAGUGUCCACCCUCUUGAAGAACACCCUCGUAGAUUCUUCACCCAAAUAUAUAUAUAUAAAGUUUCUUUAGAACAAAUUAACAGUUUGAUAUAGAAUUUAGAACAAAUUACACUUGCCUCCCCUAAAGUUUCUUUAAAUGACACAUACACCCCACCUAGUUUUUUAGUGGGCAAUAACCACCCCUAAGAUCUCUUAAACAGACUAGCUUAUUGCUGCCAUUAGUGCACACUCCAUCCCUCUAAUACCAAUAAAAAUAAAUAAAGUGCAUUUGGUUGUUAGUUUAGAAAAAUGUUACCUAAUUAAUCAAGGAAAUCACAGUAGAAGCAGAUCACAUGAACGGACAAAGCUCCGGUGACCGGAAAUGGUAGACAAGCAUGAUGCAGUGAAUAACUCUGGCAACGUGAGAGAGAACAGAUCUGAACAGAUUGAUGGCGGGUGAGGACGAUGGUGGUUGACAAUGGAGGGAGCGCUGGUGAAGAAGACGGUGGUGGAAGACGGUGGUGUUGGAUGGUGGUGUGGGGAGGAAUAGAGAAAACGCAGAGAGAGUUUUCCGACAUUUGUAACAAUCUUUUUCUAUUAUAUUCACGUUAUGUUUUUAGUUUAUAUUUUUAUUUCUUUAAUUUUUGUGCCAAUAACUCAUUUUUUUUUUUUUUUAAAUAAUUAUUUUAAAAGUUGUCAUAUAAAUGGAUGUUCAAAUGACACAACUCAAAAAAAUAUUAUAAAUUGAUUUAUAAAAUUAUCUUUAAUAAAUUUACAGAAUUAAAAUAAAAGAAAAUAAUAAAUAGUUAAUGGCAUAAUUUGAGACGUUUAGUAUUUUAAUUUUUAAACCAUAUUUAUUUCUUCUUAUAACUUAUUCAAACUCCACCACGAAUAAACCAUAUCUAAUUCUUCAUAUUCAACUGCAUUUAGUUAUGGGGAACGAAUAGCUCAACCGAUUUAAGAUAGGCUUAAUUACACUUUUGGUCCUUCCAUUUUGAUCAACUCACAAAAAUGAUCCUACCUUUUUUAAAUCGAACAAAAUUGUCCUUAAAUUAUAUGUUUUUUGCAGUUUUAGUCCUAUCUCCCUGUUUCCAACUCCAGAAACGCACAGAAAUGACAGUUUUAGUCCAAUCACCUAUGCUCAACCAUGAAGUAAACAAGGAAUAAAACAUGUGGGUACAAGGAAUCUACUUUAUUCAGCACACUAAGCUAAUUUUCGAGACAUAUUACAUACCUGAAACAUGUCUUAGAAAUUAGAGUUUUUCUUGGUUUGUGUGCUGAACAAGUAGAUUCCUUUUACCCACAUGAUUUAUUCCUUGUUUAUUUUAUGGUUGAGCAUAGGUGGUUGGACUAAAAUUAUCAUUUUUGUACGUUUCUGGAGUUGGAAAUAGGGGGAGAUAUGACUAAAACUACAAAAAACAUAUAGUUUAGGGACGAUUUUGUUUGAUUUAAAAAAGGUAUGACCAUUUUCGUGAGUUGGUCAAAAUGCGAGGACAAAAAGUGUAAUUAAGCCUUUAAGAUAAUGAGUUGGAAAUCCUAGUUCAAAUCCAAACAAAGGAUAAAAAACUAAUUUAACAACUAAACACUAACAUUUUGUCAUUGAAAAAAGAAGAAGCUGCGUCUAGUUCCAUAACAUGGUUUGGACUAAACAGCUUGGGGAGUAUAUGUCGCCUCUAUUUGAUCAGCAAAAUGAAAGGCAAAGGGGACAACACUUCAGCAAUAGGAACCCAUGGAACUCCAACAAGGAAGAUUCUUCCAGAAUUUUCAUUUUAAUACACAUUGGAAGAGUGCAAACAAUGCUAUAUUUACAUGCACGGUCUAUAAUAGAGAAUAUCAAUUGAAUUAGUGUUUAUAUAAAACUGAGUUCUGAAAAAACUUUUUAUUUACUAAAACUAGUUAGCGGGGUAUAACACUGCAUACACAUAAUUUUGCAUAGAUUCCUUCCUUGACUAGGAAAAUUAAGUCUAGAUCACUUGAUAGAUUGACAGCUCAGGCAUAUCUUCUAGCAUUCAAAUUCAGCAUUGAGAGUGCAUAUCAAUUAUCAAGAGAAGAAGAAAUAAGAACUCAAGUGAUUAUAAAAGGUUGGCCUCAAAAUAUAUUUCAAUGACAACUCAAAUUAAUACAACAAAAGUAUUACAUCAUUUAUAUGCUUGUACAUGUAUCAAAAGAAACUGCAAAUUGGCAGUAGGGUGAAAUAAAAUUCCUAUCAACUACUGCAUGUAAGAUGGCUACAACAAAUACAAUAUGAGCAAAUGAAAAUUUGGGGAGGAAAAUAAAAAAUAAAAAGAAUCUUUCUUGUUGGAAAAAGAGUGCAAACUAUCUCUUUUGGAAGUUAAAGGACUUGAUUGCAACAGCGAAAAUAAAGGCAAAGCCCACGGCAAUUCCACCGACCACAAGUGCACACCAUCCUAUGAAGUCGUGUUGGAUACCAAAAAAGUCGUCAAGGAAAGUCUUUACAUCUUUUCCGCCUUCGGUCGACAUAACAGUAGUUAUAUCUCCAAAUUGAGAUGCAACCAAUCCAUAGAUGGUCCAUGCAACUGGACAUGCCCAAUAGUACCAUCUCCACCAUAUUGGAAUGCUCUGUUAUCAAAAGGCAAGAAAAAACAGUUAGGAUACAUAUAACAUACAUCCAUUGAAAAAGUCUUUCACAAUGUACUCUAUACAAAUACUUACAGGUCUCGGGACGACAAAUCCUGAAAAGAGAUUCCAAAUUGCAUAAAAUGCAGCAGCCACAAUAGAAGCAACAUGGUGAUUUGGUGUCACUGCCACAGCCAUCAUACCAUAGAAGGUGAAGUAGAGCAAUGUGAAGUACAUGAAGAAUAGAUACCACAAGAAUUUCUCUGCGGUCCAGUCAAAUCCAAUCAUGGCAUAGACUAUAACUCCAUAUAUCACCGCUUGAGCAAAGACAUAAGGUAGCUCUACCAAAAUCUGCGACAAAAAGGGUGUUGUUAAUAUUAGAUUUUCAAGUUUUCAAACUCAAUUAAGUAAUAAUCAUUUCAGCAGCGUAAACAACAAUAAUAGUUACCUGUGAAAAUGCAUAUGGUAAGGCAGAAUACAUUCCAGCAGCCUUUUCUCGAUAAAAUACAGUCCUUUCAACUGCAACCACCGGCUGCACAGAAGAAGAAUUUUGUACUCCAAGGAAGAGAACAGCGGUAUACAUUGAACCAACAGCGUUCAACAGGUCUUGUCUACUUGAGCUGCAAGUCACCAAAAGGAAUUAGAAUUACAGUGUAGAUAAAUAGAGAGACGGCAAUAUAAUAUUUGGCGAAUAAUAUGAACUUAAUUUUUAACUAUAAAUAGUUUAACUUACUGUUUUCCACCGAGGUCCCAGAACAUUGUUCCAAACAUCAAGCCUAUGAAGGUAGUGAAGAAAAACCUCACAGCAGUGUAUGGUGGAUUACGCCAAUAUGACCAACGUUGUUUCCAUAAGCAGGCCUGGCAUUGAACCAAGAAAGACUGCGAGAAUUGAGUAGGGAAAUGAAGAUCCUUUGAACCAGGAGCAGGCACGCUAAGUUCUUGAAUAAGUUGCUUGUUUCUCCUGAAGAGUCGAACCAAACAAUUUAAGCAUGUUGCAAAUCAAGAAAACAAACAUGGCACCAAUAGCUACUAUAGUUUAUAGAUUCAUAUCCAUAUCCAUAUGCAUUAGUUUACCUAUAUAAAUCUGAAUUUUUGUACAAAUCGGUAAAGUCAACACCCAAAUUAAGUUCUUGUGCUGUAGUUGUAACUUCCAACAUCCAUGUUGCUGGGUUAUAUCCAUCUUUGAUUUUACUAACUCCGUCAAUGCUCUGGACAAUGAAAGUUAUUUGAAAACUUCAGUAACCAGUUACAAUCAAGAAAGAGAGUCAUUCACUUAAGGUAAUAUUAAACUAAAGUAGGAUCCUACCUCGAAAUACUUGAUCAAAUGAGUAGAAUGACGACCCAGUGGUCCAACAUAUAUUUCUUGUCCUCCACGCUUCAUAAGGAAUAGCUAGAAGUGCAUAUGGAUAAUGUCAGAUUCAAGUCUAAUGAAGAGGAAAAGAACUAUAAAAGGAAGCUUCAUUUGUCAUUGAUAUUUAUUAUGAUUAUUCACUACAUACCUCAUCAAAUGCUUCAAAUAUGUCAAUGCUAGGUUGAUGGAUGGUACACACAACUGUUCUUCCCGUGUCCACUGUGUUCCUUACAGUUCGCAUAACAAUUGCAGCCGCUCUAGCAUCUAAACCAGAAGUAGGCUCAUCCAUGAAAAUUAUAGAUGGAUUAGCCACAAGUUCGACUGCAAUAGUCAGUCUCUUGCGCUGUUCAGUUGAGAGACCACUCACACCAGGCAAACCAACUAGAGAGUUCCUCAACGAGUUCAGCUCCACUAGAUCCAUGACUUCAUCAAUAAACAUCUGCAACCAUUUGUAAUGUUCAUUAAGUAAGGUCAACAAAUGUAAACAAAGCCACGCCGAAUAAAGCACGUGCUAACUAACCUUUCUGGUGUUGGAAUCAACUCCUGAAGGUAAACGAAGCCACGCCGAAUAAAGCAAAGACUCAUAAACUGUAACAUGCGGUGAAUGGAUAUCAUUCUGCUCACAGUAGCCAGAAAUUCUAGCAAAUGUUUCUUGCUUUUUAGGGUACCCAGAAACCUUGAUGUCUCCAUCAAUAUAUCCACCUGUUUUCCUACCAGCCAGAACAUCCAUCAGAGUUGUUUUACCAGCUCCACUUACACCCAUCAAAGCUGUGAGAACACCGGGCCUGAAUGCACCACUAACACCCUUCAAAAGCACUAAUCUGUCUUCUCUAACACCUUGCUCCUUCAUUUCCUGCCAGUUGAAAUAAAAGUCAUGUGAGAAAAGUUAUUAUUGUUUGAGAAAAUAUGAAUUGUUAAAGAUAUCUAAAAGCCGAACGUAUCAGUUUGUGCGAAUCUUACCACUGGCAUAUCAACAGAGUAUACAAUAUCAUCAAAAGUGAUAGAAUGUGGUUCAAAUGGAAGAACCAUUCCCUUUUUCUUUCCAUGGCUGGACUCUGUAACAGAAUCAGCUCUUCCUGAACUUUCUGAAAGACAAUAAGAAAAAUGUUCAGCUACUAAACUAUAUGAUAAACUACAAUAUGUUUGCCUUCAUGAGUGAUAUCUGAUAUGCAUAUAAUCAGGAAAGCUCACCAAUACGUGGUAAUUCAACUUCUUGUACGGUAGAUGAAUCAUCUUCUGAAUCUUCAGUUAUUGUUGCACUAGGCUUAUCAAAUGGGCCUAGUACAGCGAGAGCCACACCAAACGCCACGUUGAAAAGAAAGACAAAUCCAACCAAUCCCCCAACGCCUAUCCAAUACCAAUAUGCAUGUGGGAAGAACCCUCGGGUAUCGAGAUAAUCUUUUCCCAAAUCAGCAGUAGCCUAUAAUUAAGUAUAUAAAAUAAAUUAGGCUUGCAAAUUUCUCAAACAAAAGUAGAUGAAUUAUGAAGUUGCAAGCAAGCUCAAGUAAUUAAUUACAUUGUGCCAACUGUGCCCAAGAAAUUCAUUGGCCAUCAAAGCAUUCUGCCCAUACAUCAAAGGUGAGAUCCAGUAACCCCAAAUCCACCAGCCUUUGAUAUCCUCUGUUACAAUAGCAAUAAAAUGUAAGAAACAUUAAUUAGCUAAGGUUUCAUUUCCUUACAAAAAAUUAAAUUUAAUAAGAUUUUUAUCAUUUUUUGUUAAAAUUAAAUGUGUUAGUCAAUUUAACUUACUUCUUGAGAGAAUGAAGCCACCCAAUGACAGAAAUGUGAGAAGUGCAAAGGACCCAAAUGUAUUGGCAACAAUCAUGUUUCUACCCAGGGAUGCGAUGGCUCGGAACAAUCCUGAAGCCAUCUGACUCAUGAAAAACAACACAACGAACUGCUUGAACAUCCUGCCAAAAAUUCAAGACCUCACAUCAUAAGUAACACACAAAUGCAAACUAGAUAGUAGAAGUGACGUUCAAUACUACAUUCUCCAAACAGAAUAAAAGAAACUUCUUUUACCUUCCAACAUUUGGAUCAAAUCCAAUAACAUAGUAGGUAAGAAACACCCAAAGAGAAACUUCCAUUAAUGAAACGGGAAUCUUGAGAAUCCACGAAGGAAUAGCAUAUGCCCAUGAGGGAUAAAAUAGAAGGUCUCGUUGCUUGUAGUAAACAGGAAGCUUAGCAAUGGUCAUAGAAAUCUCAGACAUUCCAUUAAACAUCAUCGUUACUAGUGUGAAAAACAAAGCACCGGCAUAAACACCCGCAUCAUCCUGAUCAUUGCGAUGCAUCUCAGUCCGAAAAAACAGUGUCAUUGCUAUCAAUGCCAUGAUGAAAAGCUGAAAAACAAAGCAUGAAGAGUAAACAGUUAUGUCACAGAAAAUCAUGGUCAUGAAUGUAUAAAUGAAAAAGAAUUUCUAUUUCACUUAUAUAAAAGAGCGGGAUAGAUUCCAAACCUGAGUUAGCUUGAAGAUGUAAACAAACGAAUUCCUUUUCAUGAGCAAAUACUCUCUUGAGAAGUUAGCCUUUAAAAGCUCCGUCUUGUUGAGACCAUACUCUUUGGUGGUCAAAGCAGCUGGAUGGCUCUUCGUCUUGUCAAAUGGUACGGAAAGCUCCUCAGCAAGUUUCCUACCAAUAUGGAAGGAUUGAAACGCCUCAGCGAAUUGAGUAACAGUUACAAAUCUGUAUGGUUGAUCUCUGCGCACCCAGUACUGUGCUUGAUCCUUUUUGGAAGUUACUUCUUGAAGAAAGUCAGCAGCACCUUUCCUUUCAGGACAUUUGAAACCCAUUGUUUCAAAAAAGUCAAGAACAUAUUCGCGGGGGCCAUGGUAUACAACUUGGCCAUCAGAAAUUAAGAUAAUGUCAUCAAAAAGAUCAUAAGUCUCAGGUGCUGGUUGGAGCAGUGAUAUAACUGCAGUGCCAUUCAUAAUGUGAACAUAUUGUCUCAGAGAGCUCACAAUCUGAAAAGUAGUGGAACUGUCCAGCCCAGUAGAAAUUUCAUCCAUGAACAAUGCAUUGGCUGGUCCAACCAACAUCUCUCCUGUAGUUACACGCUUCCUCUGUCCUCCAGAGAUACCACGUAACAUUUCAUCUCCCACCAUGGUAUCCGCGCAUAUAUCCAACCCCAAAAUCUACAAAAUUAUACAAUAUAAAACUUAAUACCGUUGGCUUGUAAAAAAUUCAACAUACAACAUGAAACAUAACUUUAUUAUGGCAUGCAAGACAUGAUAAAGCCCAUGCAAGGACAAUGUAAAUUGGGAGUAACCAAUAAAAAAUGCAAUGAGUUUAAUUUUGAUACAUUGUCAAUUAAAAAGUUUUAUACUGUCAACUAAUCACUUUAUUAGUACUUAUGAAUAAAGUCGGACGUUUUUAUUGAACUGGCGAUUAUGAGAGGCUAAGUAUAAUAAUUGAACUAUAUUUAAGUCUUACCUUGAGUACAUAAUCUGUUGAAAUGCUAUACUCCUGACCUUCAGUUGCAAUUGCCUGUUAUAUCAAAAUAAAAUUAGAGAUGCAAAGAUAGUAUAGUAUAUCAAUUACUAUACCAUUACCGAUAUUGAUUGAUAAUAGCUUAUUUAAUGCAUACCUUCAUGUAGACAUCAAUAUCUGGGUCAGGCUUAAUGUUUGCUGCCUUCUCUCUUCUAGAAAGCUCGGAUAGCAUGUCUGUUGGAUCCCAAAAAUAAUUAACAAGUUAAGCUUUAGCCACAUUUCAAAUUAGAUUUUAAAAAACAUUAACUAGGUAGUAAAAAUAGACUAACCAUAACGUGAUCCAACUCCUUGGCACCUUGCUGAGAAAGCCAAGGUUUCCCUCACAGUCAUUUCUCCAAUAUGAACAUCAUGUUGGCUUAUAUAGGCAGCAGUUCUUUGAGGUACAAACUCAUUCAGUCCAUGGCCAUUGUAAGUCACACUCCCAGUUAGCUGUACAAAUUAAGCAUUCGGCAUCCAAGUUAGAUAAUUUUAGAUAUAAAGUUUACCACCUUUGAUCUACAAGUGAGUUAUAUGAUUUUAUUUACCUGGAGACUUGGAUCAAGCUUUCCAGAUAAGGCUAAAAGAAGUGUGGUCUUUCCUGAACCAGGAGGACCUAAAAGUAGUGUCAUCCUACGAGGUUUAACGAUUCCGCUAACAUCUUUAAGAAUUGACACAUGCCUCUUUUUGGUUGGGAUGAUAUGAAGAAAAUUCAAUACCCCCUGAAAAAAAAAGAUAUAUAUAUAUAUAUAUAUAUAUUUUUAUUUGGGAGACUCAACUGCAAAAAUAAAAAAAAUAGAAAUAGAAAAAGCCUUCAGCAUCAAUUUUCAGGUUCUGAUAUCUAUCCCUACCUCUACAACAUUAGUAGCAGCAUUAAUGAAACUAGGCAAAGCUCUACUUCCCACAAACGCUUCAGCAUCAAUUUUCAGGUUCUGGUAUCGAACUUCAAUUGUUGGAAUAUCAAGUCCAACUCUAUAAUGAGAAGAAAAAACACAAAACAUGUUGAGUUAUGAGAGAAAUAAGAUCAAAAGAAAACAAUGAAGCAAAAAAAGUACAUUUUCUAUAAUAGUUACCUAUCAACUCUUUCCUUGACCUUCAACAGAAACCUUUCAUUAUCCUCUUCAGCAACCUUAACCAACCUCUCCAAAAGUUUCUGCUUUUCUUGAAAAGCAAGAUCACCAACAUCAACUUCAUGAGCACCUCCAUGAGAAGCUGUCAACAAACCUUUUCUUAGACGAUUAUAAGUAGGUAGCUUUUCAAGUGCAGCCCAUUUGAGAGCUUCUUCAUCAUCUUCUUCUCGAGAUGAUUUAGAGAAAACCUCAACUCCACUCUGUCUCCAAACAGUUGAACUUCUUGCUCUUAAACUAUUAGUAGCUCUGUAUAUAUCAGUCCCUUCCAUUUUUGCUGUUAUGAAACAGCUUUAACACAAGCUUGUGUGUUUCUGAUUUUUCUUUUUAAGACAAUGUUAUUAUGAAUUGAACCCAAACAAUAAACUAAAUGAAGUGUAGAAUAUAAUGAAAGAAUGAAAGAAUGAUGAAUGGAAAAAAACUUGUUGUAUUGAUGUUUCUUUGUGGAAAAGGAAAUGAAUAUGGAAUGAGAAAACAUGUUUGUAUAUAUACUACCUUUGAUUCCAAAGAAGUGGCGGCAAUGGAGAGUCAAACGUUGAAAUUUACGUGUUUUUUAGAAGGGACAGGAGAGAAAUAUAUGUCAAAUGGUCAAAUAAUGAAGGAGGACUAGACUAGGCAUCUUGGUUGGUCAUCAUGAGGAAACUUCGUCCUACAUGACAUGUUAAGGUGUCUAACUUGUUGUGGGCCCUAUUCAGAGUAAAGUGCACGGCCUUCUCGAACAAAGUAGGUUCUAAACAUUAAAUCAAACUAUUAUGUGAUCACAUUCUUCAAAAUCAAUUCAUAAAACAUCUGCAAUAUCUAUUUUACAUUAAUGAUUACAUGCAUUUUUUUUUGGUAGAAAAGUUUUAUACUUUCGCUACAUAAAAAUUAAUCUUUGCAAAUAAUUCAAAAAAUGAAAUCAGGGCAAUAUAUUUUUCAUAGAUAUUAUAGGACUAAAACAAGUCGGCUUAAGCCAUAUUAUACAACGAAAAAUAAUAGAGAAAUAAAUACUACUAAUAAGAAUCAAAUCAAAGAAAAAACAAGAGAAUACCAUUCCAAUAAAAAAAACGGUAGUUAGGAAUCAACUAUAAUUAUCUCAGCAGCGACGUCAUUUCUUUUCAUGUUUCAAAAAACAUAAUGUUUGAAAAGUUGGAAUUUCACAUGUUUACUGUUUUAUAGUCCUCACUUCCAAAAUAUUGACAACUAGAACAAUCAUAACCUUGACAUUUAACUCGUGUAUAUUUUUUUUGCUCCAAACAUAACUUUUUUUUUCCAACCAAGUUUAACGGUUUUUUCUUGUGUGUAAAGUUUCACGGUUUUAUUGACCGAAAAAAAAAAAAAUCAGUAAUUUGAUCAUUUAUUUUGAUGGUCUAUUUAUAGACAAAAUACACUAUUAGAAGUGUGCUUAUGGUAAAUCACCCUUUUAUUAAUAAUAGUUUAGUAAAAGUGUUAUAUCUAAUGAUUAUUUCAUUCCAUUUUUUAAUCCGUGUGCAAAUUGGCUAAAGCGACAUUCAUUUUAAAACGGAGGGAGUAAUAUUUUUACGGGAGAGAGAGAGAGAGAAAAAAAAAAAUUAGUUGAAUUGACGUAUGUAUCACAGUUGCGUUGACCAAUGUCAUGUAACAUUCAUGCAUUUAUGGUACACAAAUGGAAUCCGUCGGUUAUAGAGUAAAUAAGAAAAUUCAUUUGAAAUUCCAAAAAAGGAAAAAAAAAAUCUUUCUUGAAAUCGUUAGAUGUUAAGCAACUUGUCUUCCGUAAGUUUUUUCUAUAUGUACGUGAAAGUUUAUUGUCUACGUGAUAUGACAUGUCAUGUCAGUCACAUUGGCAAUUUGAUUAGUUUUUUUUUUUUUAAUUUGAUUUUUUUUUAAAGAUUACGAGCAAAUUCUCUCUUGAAAUGGUAUACUUAUAUGCAAAAUUUGUCCUUUUGGUGACUCGAUUCGACUUGAGUGUAGAACUAAAAAAAUACAACUCUCUCCACGUAAAAGACCUCUCGUUCUUUCGGUAAAUGAUAAAAAAAGAAACUCACUCUAAAACUUUUUUUUCUUAACAUAGUUAGCUUGAUUGAUAUUUCAUUACUUUGUUUUCCCUGUAAAUUGAUAAUCAUCUUUGAAACAUGUCAGAUAUUAAAUAUGAAUAUCUCUCUUAUUUUAUAUUUAAACUUUGGUUCACUAUGUUGUAAAAGUCUAACUUCUCCACUAAAUCCAACCCACUCAUUCAAUAUAGUUACUCUAAUGCUUAACAUCACUAUGAGAAAUCACAUUCAAAAGCAUUUGUAUAAUUUCAAUAUUUGCUGCUUAUACCGCCAAAAUAUUUGUUUACUUUAAAAAAAUAUGUUGAUAGAUUUUAAUUGGUGGCUGAUGUAUGAUACAAUUCUUAGAAUGAAUCAAUGUUUGGUAUGUAUCAUAAGUUUAAGAUAACAAAAUCCUCUAAAUUAACAAAUUACCCUAUGAAAUUGAAGUUUGUUAAUCUAUUUAGCCUCUCUUAGGAUCAAUUUCGAAGAAUCUAAAUGACAAAAUCCUUUACUCUUUAAUCUUAUUAGGUUUGCAACAACUAAACCUAGAAAAUUCCCUCCAAAUGAUUCACAUUAAUUGCUAAGUGCUAACCCUAAUUAUGUAUUUUCUUCCAACACUUCUUCAAUUUGAAAUUCAAAAAAUUUUGUUAGGAACCAUGAACUGCAUUAAAUUACAUUUAUUGCUAUAUCCCUUGAAAAAUACGGAGCUCUUCAACCGAGCGCACAUCUUCAAAAUAAUUAAUACACUGUAUAAGAUCUCUUCUAUUAUUAAAUUCUAUGAUAUAUGCAGAUAUGAUAUGUAUUUGGUUGGAAAAAUAUAUUAUUACUUUUAGUAAAUAUCAAAGUGUAAUUAUUCCUUUUAGAGCUGUAUGUGUAGUUUAGAAAUUCUAUUAAUUGAAGUGACUUUGUUUUUCAUGUUAGUAGAAAUUUAAAACAAUUAUUACAUGUCAAUUUUUUGUUUAACUAUAAAAGUAAUAAAAUAAAUAAAAUUGACCCGUGCAACAAUAUAAUAUUGUAUCUUUUUUAUUUAUAAUUUAAAAAAUAACGUGAAGAUAAUGCCCCAAUAAUAUAUUGUGAUAAAAUAAAAUAACAGUCUUUAAUUAAUUAGCUUUUCAGAACUAAGAUGUAAAAUUUGAUAAGAUUCAAGUGUCAUUGAAGGACAUAGUAAGAAAAAUUUGAUUGUAAUAUUGUAUCUCUAAUAAUCUAAUUUGCGUUUAUUGAUCGAUAUCUUACGGGUUAAAGAUUAUUCAUUUGUCUCUAUUAUAGCCGACAAGACCCGUGCGUCGCACGGGUCAAAAGUCUAGUAAAUAUAAAUGAAAGUACUUAUAAAAUUUCUUGAAAUAAUAUAGUACUUUAAUUGAAGAUGUCCUUAACAUGUUAACUAAAUGAAAGUACAUUAUAAACCAAUCAUAAAUUGUUAUAUCGUUAAGUUUGAUUUUAGUCAAAACUACCUUAGAAUCAUGCAUUAUAUGAUUUAUACUGUUUUUAAGGGAUUUACAAUUAUUAGUUGACUAUGAAAGAAAAUUUACACAAAGCACAAUUUAUCAAAAAAAAAAAAAAUUUGAGAAAGAAGCACAGAGUAUCAAAAUUAAACUCUAAAUAUUUGUACCAAAAAGAAAAAAACUCUAUAAAUAUAACAUUUUGUCUCCUUAAAAAAAACAUUGUCAAAAGAAGAAUGCUAGCAACACUAUUUUUUUAGCACUCUAUUUAAUACUUACUUUAUCAUUGGAUGAAAUCAAUGUGGACUCCACUAUUUAUAUGGAAUCCAUUUCCAAAAUGUAGGAUCACAUUGAUUUCAUAUAAUGAAUUGUGAAUAUGGGGUGGCUUUAUGCUAAGUUACAAUAACAUUUCUUUGUUAGAAUAACAUCUUAGAUAGAAAAUAAUCAAGAAGUGAAGAAACAAAGGGAUAUACAAACAAUAUUUGGUAACACCUUGUAAUUCCUUUUUUUUUUUUUAUUAUUUCCAGUUUAGGGUUUACAUACACCUUGUAUUUAAAUAGCACGGUUCACAUUAUAUUAUCCCCUUCCCACUUAAAACAAUUCGUUUCGCUUAACUAUGAGUCAUACAACUUUUGCAUAACAUAAUAAGACUAGUAAAGCAACAUGAAGAAAACCAAAAUGCGCCAGUCCAAAAGUUACACAGCUCUUCAUUACAAAACAAUUAUGUAUAUGCACCAAAUUUGAAGAGGCUGAAUUUAAUAUUCCAGCCUUGUCACACAGGACAUAUUUGACAGUUGAUGCAAAUAACUUCUUGUAUGCAAAUUCAGUAUUAAGUUGAACAAUAUCAAUUAUCAAAGGAACUUAGAAUUAAGAACUCAAAAAUGAGCAUAAAAGGCUGGUCUAAAAAAAUACACUAUCUUUCAUUGAUGAUCAAAAUGAUAAUACAAAAUUAUUGUCUUAUUCAAAUUCAAAUGCUUGUACAUUUAUAAAGGAAGCUUUAAAUUGUGUCAAACAAAGGGGAAAUAAAUUUCCUAAGAAACUAAGGCAUGGGAUAUAGAUACAGGUAUUAUACAAGCUAGGAAAAAUUGGGGAGGGAAAAUAAAAAAUAAAAAGAAUCUUUCUUGUUGGAGAAAGAGUGCAAACUAUCUCUUUUGGAAGUUAAAGGACUUGAUUGCAACAGCGAAAAUAAAGGCAAAGCCCACGGCAAUUCCACCGACCACAAGUGCACACCAUCCUAUGAAGUCGUGUUGGAUACCAAAAAAGUCGUCAAGGAAAGUCUUUACAUCUUUUCCGCCUUCGGUCGACAUAACAGUAGUUAUAUCUCCAAAUUGAGAUGCAACCAAUCCAUAGAUGGUCCAUGCAACUGGACAUGCCCAAUAGUACCAUCUCCACCAUAUUGGAAUGCUCUGUUAUCAAAAGGCAAGAAAAUGGUUAGGAUACAUAUAACAUACAUCCAUUGAAACAGUCUUUCACAAUGUACUAUAUACUAAUACUUACAGGUCUUGGGACGACAAAUCCUGAAAAGAGAUUCCAAAUUGCAUAAAAUGCAGCAGCCACAAUAGAAGCAACAUGGUGAUUUGGUGUCACUGCCACAGCCAUCAUACCAUAGAAGGUGAAGUAGAGCAAUGUGAAGUACAUGAAGAAUAGAUACCACAAGAAUUUCUCUGCAGUCCAGUCAAAUCCGAUCAUGGCAUAGACUAUAGCUCCAUAUGUCACGGCUUGGGCAAAGACAUAAGGCAACUCUACCAAAAUCUGUAAUAAAGAGGGAGUUGUUAAUAUGAGAAUUUUCAGUUUGCAAACUAAAUUAGUAGUAGUAGUAGUUGUAGUAGUAGUAGUAAUAGUUUUAGUAAUAGUUAUAAUAAUAGUAAUGUCAGUAGAUUAAACAAUGAUAAUAGUUACCUGUGAAAAUGCAUAGGGUAAGGCAGAGUACAUUCCAGCAGCUUUUUCUCUAUAAAAUACAGUUCUUUCCACUGCAACCACGGGCUGCACAGAAGAAGAAUUUUGUACUCCAAGGAAGAGGACAGCGGUAUACAUUGAACCAACAGCGUUCAGAAGGUCUUGUCUACUUGAGCUGCAAGUCACCAAAAGGAAUUAGUAUUCCAGCGUAGAUAAACAGAGGGAGAUGACAAAAUAUAAUAUUUUGUCAAUAUUAUGAACUUAUUUUUUAAUUAAAAGUAGUUUGUUUGACUUACUGUUUUCCACCGAGGUCCCAGAACAUUGUUCCAAACAUCAAGCCUAUGAAUGUAGUGAAGAAAAACCUCACAGCAGUGUAUGGUGGAUUACGCCAAUAUGACCAACGUUGUUUCCAUAAGCAGGCCUGGCAUUGGACCAAGAAAGACUGCGAGAAUUGAGUAGGGAAAUGAAGAUCCUUUGAACCAGGAGCAGGUACGCUAAGUUCUUGAAUAAGUUGCUUGUUUCUCCUGGAGAGCCAUACAAAAUAGUUUAAGCAGGUAGCAAAUAAGAAAAACAAACAUGACAACAAUAGCUUCUAUAGUUGAUUGAUUAAUAUCUGUAUGCAUUAGUUUACCUAUAUAGAUCAGAAUUUUUGUACAAGUCAGUGAAAUCAACGCCCAAAUUAAGUUCUUGUGCGGUAGUUGUAACUUCCAACAUCCAUGUUGCUGGGUUAUAUCCGUCUUUGAUUUUACUCACUCCGUCAAUGCUCUGCAACGAAAGUUAUUUGAAAAUUUCAGUAACUAAUUACAAUCAAGAAAUAGAGUCAUUCCCGUAAGGUAAUACUUCAUUUAAGUAGAGGAUCCUACCUCAAAAUACUUGAUCAAAUGAGUAGAAUGACGACCCAAUGGUCCAACAUAUAUUUCUUGUCCUCCACGUUUCAUAAGGAAUAGCUAGAAAUGCAUAUGUAUAAUAUGUCAGAUUCAAGUCUAAUGAAGAGGAAAAGAACUAAAAAAGGCAGAUUCAUUUGUCAUUAAUAUUUUUUAUGACCAUUCACUACAUACCUCAUCAAAUGCUUCAAAUAUGUCAAUGCUAGGCUGAUGGAUGGUACACACAACUGUUCUUCCUGUGUCCACUGUGUUCCUUACAGUUCUCAUAACAAUUGCAGCAGCUCUAGCAUCUAAACCAGAAGUAGGCUCAUCCAUAAAAAUUAUAGAUGGAUUAGCCACAAGUUCAACUGCAAUAGUCAGUCUCUUGCGCUGUUCAGUUGAGAGACCACUCACACCAGGCAAACCAACUAGAGAGUUCCUCAAUGAGUUCAGCUCCACUAGAUCCAUGACUUCGUCAAUAAACAUCUGCAACCAUUUGUAAUGUUCAUUAAGUAAGGUAAACGAAGGUAAACAAAGCCACGCCGAAUAAACCAUGUACUAACUAACCUUUCUGGUGUUGGAAUCAACUCCUGAAGGUAAACGAAGCCACGCUGAGUAAAGCAAAGACUCAUAAACUGUAACAUGAGGUGAAUGGAUAUCAUUCUGCUCACAGUAACCGGAGAUUCUAGCAAAUGUUUCUUGCUUUUUAGGAUACCCAGAAACCUUGAUGUCUCCAUCAAUAUAUCCACCUGUUUUCCUACCAGCCAGAACAUCCAUCAGAGUUGUUUUACCAGCUCCACUUACACCCAUCAAAGCCGUAAGUACACCAGGCCUGAAUGCGCCACUAACACCCUUCAAAAGCACUAAUCUGUCCUCUGUAACACCUUGCUCCUUCAUUUCCUGCCAGUUGAAAUAAAAGUCAUGUGAGAAAAAUCAUUUUUGUCUGAGAAAAUAUGAAUUGUUAUACAUAUCUAAAAGCUGAACAUAUCACUUUGUGCGAGUCUUACCGCUGGCAUGUCAACAGAGUAUACAAUAUCAUCAAAAGUGAUAGAAUGUGGUUCAAAUGGAAGAACCAUUCCCUUUUUCUUUCCAUGGCUGGAUUCUGUAACAGAAUCUCUUCUACCUGAACUUUCUGAAAGACAAUAGGAAAAAUGUUCAGCUACUAAACUAUAUGAUAAACUACAAUAUGUUUGCCUUCAUGAGUGAUAUGCAUAUAAUCAAGAAAGCUCACCAAUACGUGGUAAUUCAACUUCUUGUACGGUAGAUGAAUCAUCUUCUGAAUCUUCUUCAGUUAUUGUUGCACUAGGCUUAUCAAAUGGGCCUAGUACAGCGAGAGCCACACCAAAUGCCGCGUUGAAAAGGAACACAAAUCCAACCAAUCCCCCAACGCCUAUCCAAUACCAAUAUGCAUGUGGGAAGAACCCUCGGGUAUCGAGAUAAUUUUUUCCCAAAUCAAAAGUAGCCUAUAAUUAAGUAUAUAAAAUAAAUCAGGCUUGUAAAUUUCUCAAACAAAAGUAGAUGAAUUAUAAAGUUGCAAGCAAGCUCAAGUAAUUACAUUGUGCCAACUGUUCCCAAGAAAUUCAUUGGCCAUCAAAGCAUUCUGCCCAUACAUCAAAGGUGAGAUCCAGUAACCCCAAAUCCACCAGCCUUUGAUAUCCUCUGUUUUCAAUAGCAAUAAAAUGUAAGAAACAUUAAUUACCUAAGGCUUCAUGUCUUUACAAAAAAUUAAAUUUAACAACAUUUUUAUCUUUUUUUGUUAAAAUUAAAUGUGUUAGUCAAUUUAACUUACUUCUUGAGAGAAUGAAGCCACCCAAUGCAAGAAGUGUGAGAACUGCAAAGGACCCAAAUGUAUUGGCAACAAUCAUGUUUCUACCCAGGGAUGCGAUGGCUCGGAACAAUCCUGAAGCCAUCUGACUCAUGAAAAACAACACAAGGAACUGCUUGAACAUCCUGCCAAAAUUCAAGACCUCACAUCAUAAGUAACAUCAAAUGCAAACAAGAUAGAAGUGGCAUUCAAUACCACAUGCUCCAAACAGAAUAAAAGAAAUUUCUUUUACCUUCCAACAUUUGGAUCAAAUCCAAUAACAUAGUAGGUAAGAAACACCCAUAGAGAAACUUCCACUAAUGAGAUGGGAAUCUUGAGAAUCCACGAAGGAAUAGCAUAUGCCCAUGAGGGAUAAAAUAGAAGGUCUCGUUGCUUGUAGUAAACAGGAAGCUUAGCAAUGGUCAUAGAAAUCUCAGACAUUCCAUUAAACAUCAUCGUUACCAGUGUGAAAAACAAAGCACCAGCAUAAACACCCGCAUCAUCCUGAUUAUUGCGAUGCAUCUCAGUCCGA